rnacentral:rRNA from 1 species
UACGGGGGGGGCAAGCGUUGUUCGGAAUUACUGGGCGUAAAGGGCUCGUAGGCGGCCAACUAAGUCAGACGUGAAAUCCCUCGGCUUAACCGGGGAACUGCAUCUGAUACUGGAUGGCUUGAGAUUGGGAGAGGGAUGCGGAAUUCCAGGUGUAGCGGUGAAAUGCGUAGAUAUCUGGAGGAACACCGGUGGCGAAGGCGGGUCUCUGGGCAACAACUGACGCUGAGGAGCGAAAGCGUGGGGAGCGAACAGG